rnacentral:lncRNA from 1 species
AAAAAAGAAAGAAAGAAAGAAAGAAAAAAGAAAGAAAGAAAGAAAGAAAGAGAGAGAGAAAGGAAGGAAGGAAGGGAGAUCCUCCAAACCCUCCCGCUCCCCACGCAGCGACCCCCGCAGAAGUUUCUCCCGACGGCGGCCGCAGCCGUCCCCGCACUUACAAAGCCGUAUCCCCGGGACUUGCCCGUCUGCCGGUCGGUGAUGACCACCGCCUCCUCGAUGUCGCCGAACACCUCGAAGUACUUGCGCAGGCUGGAGUCGGUGGUGUGGUGGUACUGAAUUGCACACGGAGCAAAUUAGGGAAGAGUGCAGCUUCGGAGGGGACAGCUGUGAGCGUGGCACGGUGCAGCAGUCGGCGCCACGGGCUGCUGACAGAGCAAGAUGCACACCGAAUUCAAGCACUCCUCCCCCAGUCAGAGAUCUCACUUCUUGCCAUCCCCGCCCUGGGAGGAUGUAGAGAACUGCAGAGCUGCAAGGACGAGAUGGAGACUGCCCGCAGGCUGGAGAGAAAAGAGAACUGGGUCAAAGAGAAGAACGCCAGGGGAAGAGAGGAGCCCAACGAGGAAGGCGGGAAAGAGAGGGAGGAAACCUGCCCCGAGGCAGCGCCGAGCUGGGCCGCGGCGGGGCGGCAGCGAGCAGGGGCUGGCGGCCUGAGGCCGGGACCGGGGCGCGGCGGGGAGUUCCGCGGGGCAGGGUGACACCUGCCGGGCGUGGGGGGGCGGCAAGAGCCCGGCUCAGCAGAACCAGGGCCGAGCGUGGAGCUGGAUGCGGCCGGCUCGUUGUGUGGAGGCUGAGGGGCGGCGUCGUGGCGGCUCUACGCGGGGAGCGGGCGGGCAGCGCUGAGCUCUGCUCUCUGUCACACCGACAGGGCCCGAGGGAACGGCACGGGGCUGCGUCGUGUUUUAAAAGCAGACGCAGUGCACCUCACUUGUGUCUGUGCCUGCUAAGAGCCCCGCCGUUGUCGGAUACACGCCGUGUUUACUGUUGCUCUUCUCAGGCUGUGCGGUUGACGAGUGAGAGCAGUGUGUCUGACACAGCUGAGCCGUGCAGGAGCCCACAGGUGGUCACAGUACAGAAAGGCACCUUGCCUGCUGCUGUGCUUCUCUCUGUGUGUCGUGAGGCCUUUUGUGCUCCAGGGAGAUAAAAUCCUCACCUGGGAAAUAGUGGAAGAAAGGACAUUGGGUGUUUGUCCCGUCCUUCUGAAACCACAGGAAGGCUUCGGGCAACUACUAGUGCUUCAGUAUCUUUGCCUUCAUUAAAAAGGAGGCUAAUCAGCUCAGUAGAACAGUCUGAUAUAUGUACACACAGACACACGUUUUUAUUCCAGGCCUGGCUAGGCAGCCUUAGCUUAAAGAAUCUGAGAGAAAAUUCGAUGAACAACAUUGGUUAACUGCAUGGUGAAAACACAUCCUCAAUCUCCUGCUUCCCGUCUGUCAGACUGUUGGACGACUUCAAGCCAGCUGACCAAAGUUCUUCUUUUUCCUAAGUUUGUUUCUCUUUUUCUUCGGUAUUUUUACAGUUCUUACCAGGCAACACAGGGUAAUUUUCAGUUUUGCUUUUCCAUUUGCUACUGUGUCCCAUUUUUUUUUUCUUAAAAACCAACAUGGCCAGGCCUGAAGCAUUGGUCUCUUCCUGAUGAGCUUACUCACUCAGCUGCUCAAGUGGGAUCCCAGCUGCUUGAGUAGUGAGAUGAGAUCUUGUUCCUACCUUUGAUGUUUUAGUGCAAGUAUUAUUUGUUUAUUUAUUUAAUUUCCCGAGAGUAAUAGGGAGAACCACAACGAGACUGUACAAAUAAAGGCUACAUUUUUCUCUUUUCUAUAGUACCUGGCGAAGAGAGCAGUGGUCCAGUACCAGAACAGAAUUUCCUUGGCUUGGAAGGCAGAAAGGAAGAAUGCGUCAUCAGGAGUUGGAGGCCUCCUUGAACUGUAGCUCAGAAGUGUGGGACUAGUGUCAUUCAUACCAGCUGAGGACUGAGAGCUCCCCAGGAAUUUUCCUUAAAAUAAACCAAAAACCAACGCUGUCUUCAAUGGAGAGAUACGCUGCAAAGAAAAUCUGGCUGCAAAGGAAUCAUCUUUCCUGUUUAGACUGUAGAUUACCAGUGUCCAUUACUGAACUUUCUGGAUCAUCCCAUGUCAACACAAAAUUAUUGCUACACCCUACACAUGUCUCCAGGCCUUCACCAAAGAAAGUUUCUCUUUUUAGGGAUAUUCAGUGGUUGAAAAUGAACCAGAAGAAAGAACUUCAGAAGAAAGAGCUGGGAAGGAUAGAAGAGAAAAAUGAAGUGAACUUUAAGGCAGAAGAACAGAGGCAGUGAAGGUGUGACAAGAUUAAGACCAAGAUGGAGAAAGACGAAACCAGAGUUUCAGAGCUCUUGAGGACACCACAUGCCCAUGACCCUGCAGAAGAAACUGGAAAAACACCACUUCAACUUGUAAUUGGAUACAAGCUGUCUGAGAUGGAAAUUGAGAGCAAAGUUCUCUGUUUAUUUACGAGCCAGCACUGAUACCUGAAGCAUAAAGCAAGGCACCUUCAGAUCAAUGCCAGCAAACUCUCGACUAUAUUGGAAAAUCCUUCCUGCCACGGGACAAGCACGACCGUGUCCUCGUGUUCUUUCAGCGUAACCCCCACCUUGAUAACACUUGUCAUCUGAGCAGCUUGUAUGACAGGUCUGUGAAGUGGAUUACUACUGUCCACUAGAGGCUGUAAUGAGACCAACAAUGUCAUUUUAUGACAAAUUGAAGUCUUAGACUGUAAUGAUCGAUAAUUGUAAGAUUACUGUUCACAUGCAGUGCAUCGUCAAUCACUGGAUUUCCCUGAACGUGGAUGUUAAAAAAAAAAAUCCAACUUGUGUUACCUCUUACUUUCCCAUUUCUUACAGAUACUAAUUACAUAAAGCGUGCAUGUUGAUGGCACGACAUCAGUGCACUGAAAGACAGUCUCUCCUAGAUGACGUGCCUCCUGCAUGUCAAACUGAUGACUGUCUUUUGGUCAAGAACGCAUUCAGCUGGGAGUCUGACCAGUUUCAGCACGUUACUGGCAGGAGGCACUGCUCGAGUGGGUUCCUGUGUCCAACUCACACCGUCGUGCUGGAGCCCUGAUCUGUACGUUCUGCACUGCCACAGUGCCUCUCUCCAUUCUUAUUGUCAGAACUGUCCUGGUCUGCAAUUGUGUCUGUUUUCUGUAGCAAACGACUUUCACCUCUGGCAUAGUUCUGCACGUCUGGGUCAAUGGACUGCGCUGCCUUGACAGACAAUGAGGGACCUUUGUCCAGGCCGUGGCAGCACAUGAGAUCUCGCUCAGGUGCUGCUUCCCACCCUCGGUGCCCCCACCAUGCCGCGUGCUGCUCGCUUCUGGGGGAACGCUUUGAGCCCUGCCAUAGGCCCUCAAAAGAGGAACUGCAGAGGCAUAAUGGCAUCUUGUGACGUAGAAGAGCAUCCUGCGUGCCAGGCAAUGUCAGCAAAGGCACUGUCCCCUUAUCUCUGUUAUGUAACCACGUCAAAACGGAGGUGAGUUUGUGAACCUGAUGCGGCUGGCUGCAGUUACGGCACUUCCCCGGGACGUGGGCAGAGGCUGCCUGCUGGGAAAAAAAUACCGCUUUGGUUUACAACUGACUUACGCUCUUCCAACUCUGAAGCAGAAACAUGGACAAAGAUAUAAAAGGCCAGAGGCUGGUUCAUGGCAAAAAGUGUGGGUCCUGCGGCAAACACCAUAGCCACAGGAUGGAGGAACACACGAGCCUCUUACACGAGCCUGCCGCAGAAGGGAAAGUUGCCCAAAGCUUGCUUCAGCAUGAAUGUGGCUUCUCUUCCACGGCGUGUGCCACACCUCUUGGCAAGGUGGAGGUUUGAGAAGGAAAGAUUCCUUUCUCCUGAGGUAACAGGAGUACAACUGGAAUAAAAAAAGGUGGCAGGCGGGAGAAUGCCGCGUCUGCAGAACAGAAUGCAGAGGAUGGGGUGGCAACUUCUGCGGGGCCUCCACUUGAUUUCCAGCUGUCUCCAGCCUCUGCCUCUCUCCCAUGGUUCCUUUCAUUAAAUCAAUGAACCUUGCAUUAGCUGGGUGAGGAUAUUUUUGCUGUCUGCCACAUGGCUGUAGAUGCACCAUCUCGUUGCUGAGUGGCAUGUUCGUCCAGACAUCCGGGCCUGCUGCUGUCCCCAGAGCGCUCUGAAACAGGCAAGCACUUUGGGUUACGUAGCGAACCUGAUCCGGAGAGGUGGAAGUUGCACUGUUAAAAUACCUUUAUGCUCCUAAAGCCAGUCUGUGUGACAGUACCAACUCUCAGUCAAGAGCUGUGCAGAUUACCAUGUUGUUAGCACAUUCUCUAGGAAAUACAGAGGAUGAGUACAGUCAUUCAUAGAAGGGACUGUCUUGCUGAUCUGCAUACUGACAGAGCCCUAUGGUCUUUUGCAUGCAGACUAAUGCUAGAUCCAAUGCUAAAACACAGCGGUACUACCUGUGGACGCACACAUGACACAUCUGCACGGAGACAUCUGCUUGGAGCUCACAGCUGUGCUGGGGGCGGAUUGGAAGAGGCUCAGCCAACAGCCUGCCCUGGGCAGCCACAGCACAGGGAGCGCGCACGGUGCUCUCGGAGCCCUUUUGGGGCUGAGAGCCAGCCUCGGGGGCUUAUGCAGCAUUUCGUGCGGUGACUUCGGGGUGGGGAGAAGCUUUCUCAGCGCCGUGCCUCCCUUCCCGAUGCCAAAGCAGAGCGAGCGGUUCCCUGUGCGGCAGUCGGGCUGCCAGCAAGCAGAGCAGACGCUGCCCUGUGGCUGCGUUCCUCCCAUUCAUUUAUUCUGGGAGAGGCGGGCAGUGGUCUGCGCGCAGCCGGGAGAGACGCGCGAGGAUUCUGCCGGAGCGUGUGCGAGGAGCGCAGCGGGAGCGAGUACCCAAACAUGCGUGGUGCAGCCCUGCCUGCCUCGUAGUGCGGUGACGGAAUGAGUCAGAGCCUCUUUGGUCUGAAUGAAGUGGAAGGUACUCUCUACAAAGCAACUCGAGCAUAUGCCGAGGAUCCGGAAAAAUAAAACUAAUUCAGAAAACGGGAGUGGGAUGCGGGCUCCUGUUCUACGACGCUUCACAGCUCGGAACGGCAAAACGCAAUAUGGCAUCUUAAAUAAAAUCACCCUCCCCUGACUCUCACGGCGCUGCCUCCGAGCCGUCCCUGGCUCCCCGGCGCGCGUUUAUUUCCUCCCAUAGCGACAGCCCGGCCUCGGCCGGCGCUCCCGCAUCCCGCACGGCCGCUCCGCAGGACGGCGCGCCGCCGGCCUCGCUCUCCUCUCC